rnacentral:rRNA from 1 species
AUGGCUCAGGAUGAACGCUAGCGACAGGCCUAACACAUGCAAGUCGAGGGGCAGCACAAGGAGUAAUCUGAGGUGCGACCGGCGCACGGGUGAGUAACACGUAUGCAACCUGGCUGUAAGAGGGGGAAUAACCCGGAGAAAUCCGGACUAAUACCGCAUAAUACUUAGAAUCCGCAUGGAUUUUAAGUUAAACAUUUAUGGCUUACAGAUGGGCAUGCGUAUGAUUAGCUGGUUGGAGAGGUAACGGCUCCCCAAGGCAACGAUCAUUAGGGGUUCUGAGAGGAAGGUCCCCCCACACUGGUACUGAGACACGGACCAGACUCCUACGGGAGGCAGCAGUGAGGAAUCUUCCGCAAUGGACGAAAGUCUGACGGAGCAACGCCGCGUGAGUGAAGAAGGUUUUCGGGAAUCGUAAAACUCUGUUGUCAGAGAAGAACAAGUUGGAGAGUAACUGCUCCAGCCUUGACGGUAUCUGACCAGAAAGCCACGGCUAACUACGUGCCAGCAGCAGC